UACGAAGGGGGCUAGCGUUGCUCGGAAUCACUGGGCGUAAAGCGCACGUAGGCGGAUUGCUAAGUCAGGGGUGAAAUCCUGGAGCUCAACUCCAGAACUGCCCUUGAUACUGGCGGCCUUGAGUCCGGGAGAGGUGAGUGGAACUGCGAGUGUAGAGGUGAAAUUCGUAGAUAUUCGCAAGAACACCAGUGGCGAAGGCGGCUCACUGGCCCGGUACUGACGCUGAGGUGCGAAAGCGUGGGGAGCAAACAGGG
rnacentral:rRNA from 1 species